GCCUCAGUAGCUCAACAGGUUGAGCGAUCGGCUGUUGCCCGAUAGGUUACUGGUUCGAAUCCAGUCUGAGGCG
rfam:Candidate divison MSBL1 archaeon SCGC-AAA259M10 AAA259M10_Contig_91, whole genome shotgun sequence.